rnacentral:rRNA from 6 species
GGCGACGAUCAGUAGCUGGUCUGAGAGGAUGACCAGCCACACUGGGACUGAGACACGGCCCAGACUCCUACGGGAGGCAGCAGUGGGGAAUCUUGCGCAAUGGGCGAAAGCCUGACGCAGCCAUGCCGCGUGAAUGAUGAAGGUCUUAGGAUUGUAAAAUUCUUUCACCGGGGACGAUAAUGACGGUACCCGGAGAAGAAGCCCCGGCUAACUUCGUGCCAGCAGCCGCGGUAAUACGAAGGGGGUUAGCGUUGCUCGGAAUUACUGGGCGUAAAGGGCGCGUAGGCGGAUCGUUAAGUCAGAGGUGAAAUCCCAGGGCUCAACCCUGGAACUGCCUUUGAUACUGGCGAUCUUGAGUAUGAGAGAGGUAUGUGGAACUCCGAGUGUAGAGGUGA